GUCCGCGAUCAAAUGAUACACAUUACAGAAUGAUAAUGUUUAUUGAGUAGAGAUCGUUGUAUGCCAUAUCGGUUGGUUGUCCUCUUAAUCAAGGAGUAUGGUGACACUGAUAUGGCAUAUAGAUGAGAUGUAAGGGUACAUCAUCACUGAAUAAGUGACUCACCUACUAAGCGUUAUGCUAUCAAGAGCUGCUCGAGAAAUAUAUGAGUAUAAGUGUCCUGC
rnacentral:lncRNA from 1 species